ACCCGGGUAACGGGUCCCGGCUGUGGAAGCUCCCGCGGCGCCGCGAUGGACCUCGAGGAGGCGGAAGAGUUUAAAGAACGCUGUGCUCAGUGUGCUGCUGUCUCAUGGGGUCUUACUGAUGAAGGCAAAUAUUAUUGCACUUCUUGCCACAAUGUUACAGAGAGAUAUCAGGAAGUUACAAACACUGAUCUUAUUCCUAAUACCCAAAUAAAAGCCCUCAACCGGGGGCUUAAAAAAAAAAACAAUACUGAAAAAGGCUGGGAUUGGUAUGUGUGUGAAGGUUUCCAGUACAUUCUUUAUCAACAAGCAGAAGCCUUAAAGAACCUUGGAGUAGGCCCAGAGUUAAAGGGAAUGUCUUGUGUGUUAUUCACAAUUUGAGAACAAAAUCGUUUGGUGUAUGUACAUAACGUCUAUCAGGACUUGAGUUCCACAGAAUGCACUUUGGACAGUGAUAUGCUAAACCAGUCGUUCACCUGAGUGUGCAUCAGAAUCACCUGGAGUGCUUGA
rnacentral:sRNA from 1 species